rnacentral:rRNA from 1 species
UACGGAGGGUGCAAACGUUGCUCGGAAUCAUUGGGCGUAAAGCGCACGUAGGCGGACCGCUAAGUCGGAUGUGAAAGCCCUCGGCUUAACCGAGGAAUUGCGCUCUAAACUACUGUGCUUGAGGGACCUAGAGGUGAGCGGAACUGAUGGUGGAGCGGUGAAAUGCGUUGAUAUCAUCAGGAACACCGGAGGCGAAGGCGGCUCACUGGGGGUCUUCUGACGCUGAGGAACGAAAGCCAGGGGAGCGAACGGG